rnacentral:rRNA from 1 species
AACGCUAGCUACAGGCUUAACACAUGCAAGUCGAGGGGAAACGACAUCGAAAGCUUGCUUUUGGUGGGUGUCGACCGGCGCACGGGUGAGUAACGCGUAUCCAACCUGCCCGCCACUUGGGGAUAACCUUGCGAAAGUAAGACUAAUACCCAAUGAUAUCCCACGAAGGCAUCCGAAUGGGAUUAAAGAUUUAUCGGUGAUGGAUGGGGAUGCGUCUGAUUAGCUUGUUGGCGGGGUAACGGCCCACCAAGGCAACGAUCAGUAGGGGUUCUGAGAGGAAGGUCCCCCACAUUGGAACUGAGACACGGUCCAAACUCCUACGGGAGGCAGCAGUGAGGAAUAUUGGUCAAUGGGCGAGAGCCUGAACCAGCCAAGUAGCGUGCAGGAUGACGGCCCUAUGGGUUGUAAACUGCUUUUAUAAGGGAAUAAAGUGAGUCUCGUGAGACUUUUUGCAUGUACCUUAUGAAUAAGGACCGGCUAAUUCCGUGCCAGCAGCCGCGGUAAUACGGAAGGUCCGGGCGUUAUCCGGAUUUAUUGGGUUUAAAGGGAGCGUAGGCCGGAGACUAAGCGUGUUGUGAAAUGUAGUGGCUCAACCUCUGCACUGCAGCGCGAACUGGUCUUCUUGAGUACGCACAACGUGGGCGGAAUUCGUGGUGUAGCGGUGAAAUGCUUAGAUAUCACGAAGAACUCCGAUUG